AACGCUUCGCUCAAAACAACGCCGGGAUAAGUGAGGCUUGUGUGGAAAAGACUGCCAUUCGUACAUCGGGCAGUUCAGCCACAGACAAGACUGUUCCAGUGGAGUCGUCCUUCGUGGGCAUUAAUGAUAACCAGAAACCAUAGACAAGUUUGUCCGAACAAGCCUAUCUAAUCAUGUUAAAGCGUUACAGACGGGCUAAGUAACGGAAGAAAACAACUUAGUUAAAAAAAAAUUGCACAUUUCAUUCACCGCCACCUCGACCUAAUUAGACAGAAUCCCGACCUCGGUUAGCAACUGGUGCGAAAGCGAAGUCAACCGUACAAGCUUCCAAACAGAACAGAUUUCAGGUUCAAAUACAACCUCCACUCACUUCCUCCUGAACCUUAAACAACAAACAACUAACUGUAUUCAUUUCGCUUCAAGCCUAGCAGGUUGGAAGACCCCGAAAGAAGCUGCACAGAAAAUUAUGCCUUGUUGCAUAUGCAACUGCUCAUACUCUGCACUGUGGAAACACGCGUUGGGCGUCAUAACCAUAAAAAUAUGGUGUAUGAAAUUGCAAAAUAAAAGGAAAUAAAUUUUGAGGAUGUACCAGUA